GACGGAGGAUGCAAGCGUUAUCCGGAAUGAUUGGGCGUAAAGCGUCCGCAGGUGGCAGUUCAAGUCUACUGUCAAAGACCGGGGCUUAACUUCGGAAAGGCAGUGGAAACUGAACAGCUAGAGUAUGGUAGGGGCAGAGGGAAUUCCUGGUGUAGCGGUGAAAUGCGUAGAGAUCAGGAAGAACAUCGGUGGCGAAGGCGCUCUGCUGGACCAUAACUGACACUCAGGGACGAAAGCUAGGGGAGCGAAUGGG
rnacentral:rRNA from 1 species